GAUGAAGAACGCAGUGAAAUGCGAUACGUAAUGUGAAUUGCAGAAUUCAGUGAAUCAUCGAAUCUUUGAACGCAUAUUGCGCUCUCUGGUAUUCCGGAGAGCAUGCUUGUUUGAGUAUCAGUAAACACCUCAACUUCCAUAUCUUUUUUGAAAUGGGAGUUGGACUUGAGUGAUCCCAACGCUUUUCCUCACCGAAAAGUGGCGGGUUACUUGAAAUGCAGGUGCAGCUGGACUUUUCUCUGAGCUAUAAGCAUAUCUAUUUAGUCUGCCUAAAAACAGAUUAUUACCUUUGCUGCAGCUAACAUAAAGGAGAUUAGUUCUUGUGCUGACUGAUGCAGGAUUCACAAAGACAGGCUUCGGCCGACUUUGUAAACUCGAUCUCAAAUCAAGUAAGACUACCCGCUGAACUUAAGCAUAUCAAUAAGCGGAGGA
rnacentral:misc_RNA from 1 species